UAGAUUAUAAGUUAAGAAAACUGCAAUUGUUCAAAAAUUGUAAUGCUUGAAAGGGUUAAUCUAG
rnacentral:tRNA from 1 species